CACGCCCUAAACGAUGUCAACUGGUUGUUGGGAAUUCAUUUUCUCAGUAACGAAGCUAACGCGUGAAGUUGACCGCCUGGGGAGUACGGCCGCAAGGUUAAAACUCAAAGGAAUUGACGGGGACCCGCACAAGCGGUGGAUGAUGUGGUUUAAUUCGAUGCAACGCGAAAAACCUUACCCACCUUUGACAUGUACGGAAUCCUGCAGAGACGCAGGAGUGCUCGAAAGAGAGCCGUAACACAGGUGC
rnacentral:rRNA from 2 species